UACGUAGGGUGCAAGCGUUGUCCGGAAUCAUUGGGCGUAAAGCGCGCGUAGGUGGCUUCGUAAGUCCGUUGUGAAAGUCAAAGGCUCAACCUUUGAAAGCCGAUGGAUACUGCGGAGCUAGAGUACAGGAAGAGGCGAGUGGAAUUCCUGGUGUAGCGAUGGAAUGCGCAGAUAUCAGGAGGAACACCAAUAGCGAAGGCAGCUCGCUGGGACGUUACUGACACUAAGGCGCGAAAGCGUGGGGAGCGAACGAGG
rnacentral:rRNA from 1 species